GAUGAACGCUAGCGGCAGGCUUAACACAUGCAAGUCGAGGGGCAGCGUAUUUUGUAGUAAUACAAGAUGAUGGCGACCGGCGCACGGGUGCGUAACGCGUAUUCAACCUACCAUAUACAGGGGGAUAACUUUUCGAUAGGGAGCCUAAUACCCCAUAGUAUUAUUUUAAGGCAUCUUGCAAUAAUUAAAGAUUAAUUGGUCUAUGAUGGGCAUGCGUGUCAUUAGCUAGUUGGUAAGGUAACGGCUUACCAAGGCGACGAUGACUAGGGGUUCUGAGAGGAAGAUCCCCCACACUGGUACUGAGACACGGACCAGACUCCUACGGGAGGCAGCAGUGAGGAAUAUUGGUCAAUGGGCGAGAGCCUGAACCAGCCAUGCCGCGUGCAGGAAGACGGCCCUAUGGGUUGUAAACUGCUUUUAUGUGAGGAUAAACCUAUUCUUGCGAGAGUAGCUGAAGGUAUCACAUGAAUAAGGAUCGGCUAACUCCGUGCCAGCCGCCGCAGUAA
rnacentral:rRNA from 1 species